rnacentral:rRNA from 1 species
UACGUAGGUGGCAAGCGUUGUCCGGAUUUAUUGGGUUUAAAGGGUGCGUAGGCGGUUGAUUAAGUCAGUUGUGAAAUACGGCAGCUUAACUGUCGAGGUGCAAUUGAUACUGGUUGACUUGAGUACAGACGAGGUAGGCGGAAUUGACGGUGUAGCGGUGAAAUGCAUAGAUAUCGUCAAGAACACCGAUAGCGAAGGCAGCUUACUAGACUGCAACUGACGCUGAGGCGCGAAAGCUAGGGGAGCAAACAGG